rnacentral:rRNA from 1 species
CCUACGGGUGACAGCAGUGGGGAAUAUUGCACAAUGGGGGGAACCCUGAUGCAGCGACGCAGCGUGGGUGAAGAAGUAUUUCGGUAUGUAAAGCCCUAUCAGCAGGGAAGAACAAUGACGGUACCUGACUAAGAAGCACCGGCUAAAUACGUGCCAGCAGCCGCGGUAAUACGUAGGGUGCAAGCGUUAUCCGGAUUUACUGGGUGUAACGGGAGCGCAGGCGGCGCGUUAAGCCUGGUGUGAAAGUCCGCGGCGCAACCGUGGGACUGCAUUGGGAACUGGCGCGCUGGAGUGCCGGAGGGGUAGGCGGAAUUCGUGGUGUAGCGGUGAAAUGCGUAGAUAUUAGGAGGAACACCAGUGGCGAAGGCGGCCUACUGGACGGUGACUGACGCUGAGGCUCGAAAGUGUGGGGAGCAAACAGGAUUAGAUACCCGGGUAGUC